rnacentral:rRNA from 1 species
AACGAACGCUGGCGGCAUGCCUAACACAUGCAAGUCGAACGAACCCUUCGGGGUCAGUGGCGCACGGGUGCGUAACGCGUGGGGAUCUGCCCUUUGCUUCGGAAAUAACAGUUAGAAAUGACUGCUAAUACCGGAUGAUGUCUUCGGACCAAAGAUUUAUCGGCAAAGGAUGAACCCGCGUAGGAUUAGCUAGUUGGUGGGGUAAAGGCCUACCAAGGCGACGAUCCUUAGCUGGUCUGAGAGGAUGAUCAGCCACACUGGGACUGAGACACGGCCCAGACUCCUACGGGAGGCAGCAGUGGGGAAUAUUGGACAAUGGGCGAAAGCCUGAUCCAGCAAUGCCGCGUGAGUGAUGAAAGGCCUUAGGGUUGUAAAGCUCUUUUAUCAGGGAUGAUAAUGACAGUACCUGGAGAAUAAGCUCCGGCUAACUCCGUGCCCAGCAGCCGCAGUAAU